GGCGACUGUUUCAUUUCUAAACGUAGAUUAGUUCCGCUUGAGCGAGCGGGUAGAUGAAUUGUUGACUAUCGUGUGUACUGUUAUCGGCGACCGCCUUAAAUCUCUAUAAAAACCGCCCAAGGGGGAGGCAGACAAAUCGUCACUAUAAAACGGUUGCUUAAGUUAUAGUAAUUGAAUGACUAGACGAGUGUAUCACGAGAUAUUUCGGUGGGCGGUUACGAGUUCGCGUAGCGAACGAGUAACGCCCACCGAAAUAUCAAGUGUACACGAGUCUAGGACAUUCAAUAAAAUGGCUUGUGUCAUGGCCCGUCCAUCGGCUGUCAUUAAACUUCUAAAAACCAAUCAGAAUUAUCUCGGGUUUCUGAGUGAAUUCCCCGCCAAAAGCAAUCAACGAUCAAUUAGGAGUACAUUUCCCGCCAAAAACAAUAUCAGUUACAUGUAGUUCAAUGCGCACCCGACUUUGUAAGCGGUAAGCAGCAGGAUGUCAACCCCUUCAGCUAGCUUAAUGGUCAGUUUAAAGUACAGGGAUUUCCUUUCAUUACAAGGGGAUGAUUUUGACGACAUUGUGUUAUCUCAAGCAUUCAAGGAUAUAGAAAACGAAGUGAAAGUUUUUGAUGGGAUUUCCGACAUGUCGCUGACACCUGUCGGGAGUUAACGGGAAGGGGAUGCAAAACAUAUUUAGGAGGACUGGAAUACACCAAAUUACCAGCAAGAACAGACAUUAUUACAACCAAGAAGGUGACCGAUGUAUUCCGGAGUACUUUGAUAUGUACAAUGAUGUGUAUACAGGAGACUUCUCGGAGGAACCCCCAUUUGUUAUGGAAGUCAGGUCGUCGGUGUAAACAAACCAAAACAACAUGUGAAAGUGAAAGGAAAUUACACACAACUUACACUAUUGUACAAAUGCGGCGAACUGGACAACUGUUACGCGUUAUGUUAAAUUUGUGAACAGGGAAUCGUAUACAUAAUAUUUGUAAACAAACAUGUUUUUUUUCAAGUUUUAAUAACACCUAUGUACUACAGACCCUAUUCGGCAUUGAUACAAAAACAUCGAGAUCGCUGUAAACACUUGCGCUUGACCAGAAAAAAAAA